GAUGAACGCUGGCGGCGUGCCUAAUACAUGCAAGUCGAGCGAACAGAUGAGGAGCUUGCUCCUCUGACGUUAGCGGCGGACGUGUGAGUAACACGUGGAUAACCUACCUAUAAGACUGGGAUAACUUCGGGAAACCGGAGCUAAUACCGGAUAAUAUAUUGAACCGCAUGGUUCAAUAGUGAAAGACGGUUUUGCUGUCACUUAUAGAUGGAUCCGCGCCGCAUUAGCUAGUUGGUAAGGUAACGGCUUACCAAGGCAACGAUGCGUAGCCGACCUGAGAGGGUGAUCGGCCACACUGGAACUGAGACACGGUCCAGACUCCUACGGGAGGCAGCAGUAGGGAAUCUUCCGCAAUGGGCGAAAGCCUGACGGAGCAACGCCGCGUGAGUGAUGAAGGUCUUCGGAUCGUAAAACUCUGUUAUUAGGGAAGAACAAAUGUGUAAGUACCUAUGCACGUCUUGACGGUACCUACGCAGAAAGCUACGGCUAACUACGUG
rnacentral:rRNA from 1 species